GUGUGGCUGAGUGGUAGAGGCUUGCCUCUCAUGCAUGAGGUACUGGGUUCAAUCCCCAGAACCAAACA
rnacentral:tRNA from 1 species